UCGUCAGAUUGAACGCUGGCGGCUGGCUUAACACAUCAAAGUCGAACCGGUAGCACAGAGACCUUGCUCUCGGGUGACGAGUGGCGGACGGGUGAGUAAUGUCUGGGAAACUGCCCGAUGGAGGGGGAUAAAUACUGGAAACGGUAGCUAAUACCGCAUAACGUCUUCGGACCAAAGUGGGGGACCUUCGGGCCUCACACCAUCGGAUGUGCCCAGAUGGGAUUAGCUAGUAGGUGGGGUAAUGGCUCACCUAGGCGACGAUCCCUAGCUGGUCUGAGAGGAUGACCAGCCACACUGGAACUGAGACACGGUCCAGACUCAUACGGGAGGCCGCAGUGGGGAAUAUUGCAGAUGGGCGCAGCCUGAUGCAUCCGUGCCGCGUGUAG
rnacentral:rRNA from 1 species